UACGUAGGGGGCAAGCGUUGUCCGGAUUUAUUGGGCGUAAAGCGCUCGCAGGUGGCCCGUCGCGUCGUGCGUGAAAGACCCCGGCUCAACCGGGGGGUGUCGUGCGAUACGGGCGGGCUGGAGGCCAGUAGGGGGAUGCGGAAUUCCGGGUGUAGUGGUGGAAUGCGUAGAGAUCCGGAGGAACACCAGCGGCGAAGGCGGCAUCCUGGACUGGUCCUGACACUCAGGAGCGAAAGCGUGGGGAGCGAUC
rnacentral:rRNA from 1 species